UAAAAAGAUAAGCUAAUUUUAAGCUAAUGGGCUCAUACCCCGUAAAUGAAAAUAUAAUUUCUCUUUUUA
rnacentral:tRNA from 1 species